AAACAGGGUUGAGUAACUUCC
rnacentral:miRNA from 1 species